UACGGAGGAUCCGAGCGUUAUCCGGAUUUAUUGGGGUUAAAGGGUGCGUAGGCGGCUUAUUAAGUCAGUGGUGAAAGCCUGGAGCUUAACUCCAGAACUGCCAUUGAUACUGAUGAGCUUGAGUAUAGUUGAGGUGGGCGGAAUGUGUCAUGUAGCGGUGAAAUGCUUAGAUAUGACACAGAACACCGAUUGCGAAGGCAGCUCGCUAAACUAUAACUGACGCUGAGGCACGAAAGCGUGGGUAGCAAACAGG
rnacentral:rRNA from 1 species